GCUGGGCAUGGUGGUGUGCACCCAUAAUCCCAGCUACCUGGGAGGCCGAGGCGGGAGGAUCACUUGAGCCCAGGAGGUCCAGACUGCAGUGAGCUGAGAUCCAGCCACUGCAGUCCAGCCUGGGUGACACAGUGAGACCCUGUCUCAA
ensembl:misc_RNA Metazoa_SRP Metazoan signal recognition particle RNA